rnacentral:rRNA from 1 species
GACGAACGCUGGCGGCGUGCCUAAUACAUGCAAGUAGAACGCUGAAGCGAGGAGCUUACUCUUCUUGGAUGAGUUGCGAACGGGUGAGUAACGCGUAGGUAACCUGCCUUGUAGCGGGGGAUAACUAUUGGAAACGAUAGCUAAUACCGCAUAACAAUGGAUGACACAUGUCAUUUAUUUGAAAGGGGCAAUUGCUCCACUACAAGAUGGACCUGCGUUGUAUUAGCUAGUAGGUGAGGUAAUGGCUCACCUAGGCGACGAUACAUAGCCGACCUGAGAGGGUGAGCGGCCACACUGGGACUGAGACACGGCCCAGACUCCUACGGGAGGCAGCAGUAGGGAAUCUUCGGCAAUGGGGGCAACCCUGACCGAGCAACGCCGCGUGAGUGAAGAAGGGUUUCGGAUCGUAAAGCUCUGUUGUAAGUCAAGAACGGGUGUGAGAGUGGAAAGUUCACACUGUGACGGUAGCUUACCAGAAAGGGACGGCUAACUACGUG